rnacentral:rRNA from 1 species
GACGAACGCUGGCGGCGUGCUUAACACAUGCAAGUCGAACGAUGAAGCCGGAGCUUGCUCUGGUGAAUUAGUGGCGAACGGGUGAGUAACACGUGAGUAACCUGCCCUUGACUCUGGGAUAACUGCGGGAAACUGUAGCUAAUACCGGAUACGACCCUCGGAGGCAUCUCCUGGGGGUGGAAAGAAUUUCGGUCAAGGAUGGACUCGCGGCCUAUCAGCUAGUUGGUGAGGUAAAGGCUCACCAAGGCGACGUCGGGUAGCCGGCCUGAGAGGGGGACCGGCCACACGGGGACUGAGACACGGGACAGACUCCUACGGGAGGCAGCAGUGGGGAAUAUUGCACGAUGGGCGCAAGCCUCAUGCAGCAACGCCGCGUGAGGGAUGACGGCCUUCGGGUUGUAAACCUCUUUUAGCAGGGAAGAAGCGAAAGUGACGGUACCUGCAGAAAAAGCACCGGCUAACUACGUGCCAGCCGCCGCAGUAA